rnacentral:lncRNA from 1 species
AAGGCAUUUUCUUUCUUCAGAGAAGGAGCCCUUAUUAAGUGGAGGAAGGUGAUUUGAUGCUCUUCACUGUCAGGAUGUUCAAAUGAUGAAAACAUUAUCUUUGAUAUGCUCCGCUGGAAACGUCUUGUAAUUCUUGCUGGACUCUGCAGUUUUCCUGCUUUCCUUGUUUGACAGAAUCCAAUUCUCCUGACCUUCAGGACAUGGAGCAGAACUCAUUGCUUCCACCUGGCCUACCCAAGU